rfam:Dacryopinax sp. DJM-731 SS1 chromosome Tnknown DACRYscaffold_23, whole genome shotgun sequence.
UCCGAGGUAGUGUAAUGGAACACAUUUAGCAUAAUAUGUGAAAACUCCUGGGUUCAAAUCCCAGUCUCGGAA